rnacentral:rRNA from 1 species
AGGCUUAGCUCCCCCAAGAGUCCACAUCGACGGGGAGGUUUGGCACCUCGAUGUCGGCUCAUCACAUCCUGGGGCUGUAGUAGGUCCCAAGGGUUGGGCUGUUCGCCCAUUAAAGUGGUACGCGAGCGGGGUUCAGAACGUCGUGAGACAGUUCGGUCCCUAUCCGUCGCAGGCGUAGGAAAUUUGAGAAGACCUGUCCUUAGUACGAG